AGCGGCGGACGGGUGAGUAACACGUAGGCAACCUGCCCUCAAGACUGGGAUAACUACCGGAAACGGUAGCUAAUACCGGAUAAUUUAUUUUGCAGCAUUGUGAAAUAAUGAAAGGCGGAGCAAUCUGUCACUUGAGGAUGGGCCUGCGGCGCAUUAGCUAGUUGGUGGGGUAACGGCUCACCAAGGCGACGAUGCGUAGCCGACCUGAGAGGGUGAACGGCCACACUGGGACUGAGACACGGCCCAGACUCCUACGGGAGGCAGCAGUAGGGAAUCUUCCGCAAUGGGCGAAAGCCUGACGGAGCAACGCCGCGUGAGUGAUGAAGGUUAACGGAUCGUAAAGCUCUGUUGCCAAGGAAGAACGUCUUCUAGAGUAACUGCUAGGAGAGUGACGGUACUUGAGAAGAAAGCCCCGGCUAACUACGUGCCAGCAGCCGCGGUAAUACGUAGGGGGCAAGCGUUGUUCGGAAUUAUUGGGCGUAAAGCGC
rnacentral:rRNA from 1 species